UGAAUGUCGGCCGUAACUAUAACGGUCCUAAGGUAGCGAAAUUCCUUGUCGGGUAAGUUCCGACCUGCACGAAUCGUGUAACGAUCUGGGCGCUGUCUCAACGAGGAUCUCGGUGAAGUUGUAAUUCCGGUGAAAAUGCCGGAUACCCGCAGUAGGACGGUAAGACCCUGUGAACCUUUACUGUAAUCUGAUAUUGGGUUUUGGUUGGUUAUAUGUAGCAUAGCUGGGAGGCUGUGAAGCGAUCUCGUCAGGGACCGCGGAGCCGUCAGUGAAAUACCAGUUUUAAUUAACCGGAAUUCUAACCGCGAGCCGUGCAACCGGCUCCGGGACCGUGUCAGAGGGUCAGUUUGACUGGGGCGGUUUCCUCCCAAAAGAUAACGGAGGAGUUCUAAGGUCACCUCAGCAUGGUCGGCAAUCAUGCGUAGAGCGUAUAGGUAGAAGGUGGCUUGACUGCGAGACCCACAAGUCGAGCAGGUGCGAAAGCAGGACUAAGUGAUCCGGCGGUUGCUAGUGGUAGCGCCGUCGCUCAACGGACAAAAGGUACUCCGGGGAUAACAGGCUUAUCGCCGCCAAGAGUCCAUAUCGACGCGGCGGUUUGGCACCUCGAUGUCGGCUCAUCACAUCCUGGGGCUGAAGAAGGUCCCAAGGGUUUGGCUGUUCGCCAAUUAAAGUGGUACGCGAGCUGGGUUCAAAACGUCGUGAGACAGUUUGGUCCAUAUCCACUGUGGGCGUUGGAGAUUUGAGGAGAACAUUCCUUAGUACGAGAGGACCGGGAAUGACGCACCUCUGGUGUUUCGGUUGUCGCGCCAGCGGCAUCGCCGAGUAGCUAUGUGCGGAAUGGAUAAGCUCUGAAUGCAUCUAAGAGCCAAGCCGACUUCAAGAUUGGAUCUCCCUUGCUGGUUCGCCAGCACUAAAGGCCGGUUGAAGACUACGACCUUGAUAGGGCGGGUGUGUACGUGCUGCGAGGCAUUUAGCUAACCGCUACUAAUCAGCCGUGAGGCUUGACCAU
rnacentral:rRNA from 1 species